rnacentral:rRNA from 1 species
CAGUCGCGGUAAUACGUAGGGUGCGAGCGUUAAUCGGAAUUACUGGGCGUAAAGCGUGCGCAGGCGGUGAGUUAAGUCUGCUGUGAAAUCCCCGGGCUCAACCUGGGAAUGGCAGUGGAUACUGGCUCGCUAGAGUGUGUCAGAGGAUGGUGGAAUUCCCGGUGUAGCGGUGAAAUGCGUAGAGAUCGGGAGGAACAUCAGUGGCGAAGGCGGCCAUCUGGGACAACACUGACGCUGAGGCACGAAAGCGUGGGGAGCAAACAGGAUUAGAGACCCCCGUAGUCCCUGUCUCUUAUACACU